ACUCAAAUGAAUUGACGGGGACCCGCACAAGCGGUGGAUUAUGUGGUUUAAUUCGAAGCAACGCGAAGAACCUUACCAAGUUUUGACAUGGAGACAAAGGCCUUAGAGAUAAGGAGAUAGAUAUGUCUCACACAGGUGGUGCAUGGUUGUCGUCAGCUCGUGUCGUGAGAUGUUGGGUUAAGUCCCGCAACGAGCGCAACCCCUGUUUUUAGUUACCAACAGUAAGAUGGGGACUCUAAAGAGACUGCCGGUGACAAACCGGAGGAAGGUGGGGAUGACGUCAAAUCAGCAUGCCCUUAAUGACUUGGGCUACACACGUAAUACAAUGGCGCAGACAGAGGGAAGCGAAGUAGAGAUAUGGAGCGAAUCUCAGAACAUGCGUCUCAGUUCGGAUUGGAGUCUGCAACUCGACUCCAUGAAGCAGGAAUCGCUAGUAAUCGCGAAUCAGCAUGUCGCGGUGAAUACGUUCUCGGGUCUUGUACACACCGCCCGU
rnacentral:rRNA from 1 species